rnacentral:rRNA from 1 species
UGCCAGCCGCCGCGGUAAUACGGAGGGUGCGAGCGUUAAUCGGAAUUACUGGGCGUAGAGGGCGCGUAGGCGGUUGCUUAAGUCAGAUGUGAAAUCCCCGGGCUCAACCUGGGAACUGCAUUUGAAACUGGACGACUAGAGUUUUGUAGAGGGAGGUAGAAUUUCAGGUGUAGCGGUGAAAUGCGUAGAGAUCUGAAGGAAUACCGGUGGCGAAGGCGACCUCCUGGACAAAAACUGACGCUGAGGCACGAAAGCGUGGGUAGCAAACAGGAUUAGAUA